rnacentral:rRNA from 1 species
UACGUAGGGUGCAAGCGUUAAUCGGAAUUACUGGGCGUAAAGCGUGCGCAGGCGGUUGUGUAAGACAGAUGUGAAAUCCCCGGGCUCAACCUGGGAACUGCAUUUGUGACUGCACAGCUGGAGUGCGGCAGAGGGGGAUGGAAUUCCGCGUGUAGCAGUGAAAUGCGUAGAUAUGCGGAGGAACACCGAUGGCGAAGGCAAUCCCCUGGGCCUGCACUGACGCUCAUGCGCGAAAGCGUGGGGAGCGAACAGG